rnacentral:rRNA from 1 species
GCCAGCAGCCGCGGUAAUACGUAGGGUGCAAGCGUUGUCCGGAAUUAUUGGGCGUAAAGAGCUCGUAGGCGGUUUGUCGCGUCUGCUGUGAAAACUGGAGGCUCAACCUCCAGCCUGCAGUGGGUACGGGCAGACUAGAGUGCGGUAGGGGAGAUUGGAAUUCCUGGUGUAGCGGUGGAAUGCGCAGAUAUCAGGAGGAACACCGAUGGCGAAGGCAGAUCUCUGGGCCGUAACUGACGCUGAGGAGCGAAAGCAUGGGGAGCGAACAGGAUUAGAUACCCUGGUAGUCCAUGCCGUAAACGUUGGGAACUAGAUGUGGGGGCCAUUCCACGGUCUCCGUGUCGCAGCUAACGCAUUAAGUUCCCCGCCUGGGGAGUACGGCCGCAAGGCUAAAACUCAAAGGAAUUGACGGGGGCCCGCACAAGCGGCGGAGCAUGCGGAUUAAUUCGAUGCAACGCGAAGAACCUUACCAAGGCUUGACAUAUACGAGAACGGGCCAGAGAUGGUCAACUCUUUGGACACUCGUAAACAGGUGGUGCAUGGUUGUCGUCAGCUCGUGUCGUGAGAUGUUGGGUUAAGUCCCGCAACGAGCGCAACCCUCGUUCUAUGUUGCCAGCACGUUAUGGUGGGAACUCAUAGGAGACUGCCGGGGUCAACUCGGAGGAAGGUGGGGAUGACGUCAAAUCAUCAUGCCCCUUAUGUCUUGGGCUUCACGCAUGCUACAAUGGCCGGUACAAAGGGCUGCAAUACCGUAAGGUGGAGCGAAUCCCAAAAAGCCGGUCUCAGUUCGGAUUGAGGUCUGCAACUCGACCUCAUGAAGUCGGAGUCGCUAGUAAUCGCAGAUCAGCAACGCUGCGGUGAAUACGUUCCCGGGCCUUGUACACACCGCCCGUCAAGUCAUGAAAGUCGGUAACACCCAAC